rnacentral:rRNA from 1 species
GUGGGGAAUAUUGCACAAUGGGGGAAACCCUGAUGCAGCGACGCCGCGUGAGUGAUGAAGUAUUUCGGUAUGUAAAGCUCUAUCAGCAGGGAAGAAGAUGACGGUACCUGAGUAAGAAGCCCCGGCUAACUACGUGCCAGCAGCCGCGGUAAUACGUAGGGGGCAAGCGUUAUCCGGAUUUACUGGGUGUAAAGGGAGCGCAGACGGCCACACAAGUCUGAAGUGAAACUCCACGGCUUAACCGUGGAACUGCUUUGGAAACUGUGCGGCUAGAGUGCUGGAGAGGUAAGCGGAAUUCCCAGUGUAGCGGUGAAAUGCGUAGAUAUUGGGAAGAACACCGGUGGCGAAGGCGGCUUACUGGACAGUAACUGACGUUCAUGCUCGAAGGCGUGGGGAGCAAACAGG